CAUCCAUCUCCUUGUUCUGUCUCAUGCUAUCUGACCACCUGUUCUCAUCCAUGUUUUCAUCCCUUACUUGAUAUCUGGAAGGUACAGGACACAUUAAAGUAUCAGAUCCUGUGAUAACUGGGAGAAAUCUCUACUUUAGAGCUAAAAUCCUUCACCUCACUAUGCAAUGAAGAGUUUAGACAUUUCCUACGAAAGCCAGGCCCAGCUGCAGUUGAAAUCACCCAUUUUGUACAAGGCUGACCGCCCACCGUAUUUCUGAGGAGGCUUUCUUUAUGGAAACGAAAGGAAAGCACCUGCAUAUUGGAACCACAACUCUUCGACAACUUAUAUAACCCCAAACAUGAAGAAACAGGCAAGGCCUCCCA